rnacentral:misc_RNA from 1 species
GAAAUGCGAUAAGUAGUGUGAAUUGCAGAAUUCAGUGAAUCAUCGAAUCUUUGAACGCACAUUGCGCCCCUUGGUAUUCCAUGGGGCAUGCCUGUUCGAGCGUCAUUUGUACCCUCAAGCUCUGCUUGGUGUUGGGUGUUUGUCCCGUCUCCGCGCGUGGACUCGUCCCAAAGUGAUUGGCAGCCGGCGUACUGGUCCCGGAGCGCAGCACAUGUCGCGCAAACGAGUGCCUUGGUACGGCGGCGUCCAUAAGCCCCUCUCUCACGCUCUUGACCUCGGAUCAGGUAGGGAUACCCGCUGAACUUAAGC